AUACGGAGGGUGCAAGCGUUACUCGGAAUUACUGGGCGUAAAGCGCGCGUAGGCGGUUUGCUCAGUCGGAUGUGAAAGCCCAGGGCUCAACCUUGGAACUGCAUACGAUACUGGCAAACUAGAGUGUGAGAGAGGAUAGUGGAAUUUCCGGUGUAGCGGUGAAAUGCGUAGAUAUCGGAAGGAACAUCAGUGGCGAAGGCGACUGUCUGGCUCAACACUGACGCUGAGGUGCGAAAGCGUGGGUAGCAAACAGGAUUAGAAACCCUAGUAGUCC
rnacentral:rRNA from 1 species